CAGCAGGAUCUCCUUGUAAAUCUAUUCUAGGUUGUGUCUGAUAAGCCCAAGCUCCCGAUCCCUCCCACUCCCUCCCCCUCCCAUCAUGCAACCACAAGUCUCUUCUCCAAGUCCAUGAUUUUUUUUUCUGAGGAGAUGUUCAUUUGUGCUGGAUAUUAGAUUCCAGUUAUGUGAUAUCAUAUGGUAUUUGUCUUUGUCUUUCUGGCUCAUUUCACUCAGUAUGAGAUUCUCUAGUUCCAUCCAUGUUGCUGCAAAUGGCAUUAUGUCAUCCUUUUUUAUGGCUGAGUAGUAUUCUAUUGUGUAUAUAUACCACAUCUUCCGAAUCCAAUCAUCUGUCGAUGGACAUUUGGAUUGUUUCCAUGUCCUAGCGAGACCAUACAUUCUAUUGCACAUUUUACUUUUCCAAAUCCCUCUUUCAACUUAGUAAAAUGGGUCCUAACUAAUAGUAACUAACAAGUGACUAUAAUUUAUUUUGUAUGAAGAUGGGUGACAAAUAUUCAUUCUUAUAAAAUACAACCAGGGCUAACCAUCGUAGGGUAAAAGUGAGUUAGUCUUUGGGUGAAAUGCUUAGGAUAAAGUCUUUAGUGAUUAAGCAUCAAAAACAACAGCACUCUUGAAGUUCCCACUGUGGUUCAGUGGGUUAAGAACCCAACGUGGUGUCUGUGAGGAAGCAGGUUUGAUCGCUGGCCUUGUUCAGUGGGUUAAGUAUCCCAUAUUGCCACAAGCUGCAGUGUAGGUGGCAGAUGUUGCUCAGAUCUGGCAUUGCUUUGUGUAGUCCUCAGGGGCAGCUCCAAUUCGACCUCGAGCCUAGGAACUUCCAUAUGCCACAGGUGUGGCUAUAAAAAGAAAAAGAAAACAACGACAACACUCUAGUGGAUAUCACCCUGUCCAUCACUGGUAACUGCAUCAUUUCAGAAACAGUGAAUGAAACUUGAAAAACAGAGUGACACAAACUGUGAAAUAAGCCAGAGUGUUACUACAGCAUCGGUUCUCACAAAGAUUUGUCUAGAGCUGCUGCAUAUGUCUUACUUGGACAUCUAAUAAGGCUCAGCCAGCAUGAUGUCACCAGUGCACUGGGCCAACCAGCCCUUCUGUGGGGUGGAAAGGUGAGCAAAGAAAAUGAAAAUGUAUUCCACUGUCUUCCAGCUCCCUUUAUUUCCAUCAAGAAAUCUGCUGUCAUAUCCUUUGUUGGUUAUUUUAGUUUUCACUUUCAUUCAGUUUUAAGUACUUUUCUUAAUCUUAUUCUACAGCUGUUAAUACAAUGUUUCUUGGCAGAUUUUUGGGUCAAUGUACUUAGGAUACAUUAUAGUUUCUGACCCCUAGUGAUGCUAUGGACAUUUGGCUUGGAACAGCUCAAUCUCUCCAAUUUCUUUUGUGUUCACUGUUUCAAGGUCUGGAUUUAGCUCAUUUUUUUUUUUUUCAGGGAGAAAGUAAAUCUUCAGAUAUUUUAUUUUAUGAGAAUCCACAAUGCAAUUAAACAUUUAUUAUAUACAGUAUCUAGUUAUAUUUUAGUGGGAGCCCUUCAAAAUGCUGCCCAUUGAAAAUAUUCAGCCCAGAAUAUUUACCAUAAAUUCCAUGUCUGAAAUAACUAUAUUGUUAACAUACUGGAAUGAUAUAAAAUAAUUUUAAAGAUUAUCAAAACACCUGGC
rnacentral:lncRNA from 1 species